GGAGCCAUAGCUUAGUGGCCAAACAUCUGCCUUGCAAGCAGAAGAUCCCAGGUUCAAUCCCUGGCAUCUUCA